rnacentral:rRNA from 1 species
GGAGGGUGCAAGCAUUAAUCGGGAUUUACUGGGGUGUAAAGGGCGCGUAGGCGGAUAGGCAAGUCAGAUGUGAAAUUCCGGGGGGCUCAACCUCGGAGCUGCAUUUGAAACUACUUGUCUUGAGGAUAGAUGGAGAAAAUGGAAUUCCACAUGUAGCGGUGAAAUGCGUAGAUAUGUGGAAGAACACCGGUGGCGAAAGCGGUUUUCUAGUUUAUUCCUGACGCUGAGGCGCGAAAGCAAGGGGAGCAAACAGGAUUAGAUACCCUGGUAGUCCUUGCUGUAAACGAUGCAUACUUGGUGUAGUUGGUCUCAACCCCGACUGUGCCGUAGCUAACGUGUUAAGUAUGCCACCUGGGGAGUACGCUCGCAAGGGUG